GCCGGGCGCAGUGGCGCCUGCCUGUAGGCCCAGUUACUUGGGAGGCUGAGGCUGGAGGAUCUGGAGUCCAGGAGUUCUGGGCUGUAGUGUGCUAUGCGGAUCGGGUGUCGGCACUAAGUUCAGCAUCAAUAUGGUGACCUCCGGGGAGUGGGGGACCAGGAGGUUGCCUAAGGAGGGGAACCAGCCCAGGUCGCAAAUGGAGCAGGUCAAAACUCCCAUGCUAGGCCGGGCACUGUGGCUUAAGCCUGUAAUCCCAGCACUUUGGGAGGCCGAGGCGAGUGGAUCACAAGGUCAAGAGAUCGAGACCAUCCUGGUCAACAUGGUGAAACCCCGUCUCU
rnacentral:SRP_RNA from 1 species